UAUUUGUUUUACACAUAAAUUUUGAAAUGUUUUUCAUUUGUCAACACCAUCAAUUCUAUUUUCACUCAUGGCUAUGCCACUCAUGAACAUAUUGCAUCUGGUGUUCACUCAGUAAAAUAUAUUUCAAUCUUACAUGCAAAAGAAACAAAUAUCCUCUAUUUAUAUCAUGGGGACAUAGCCAUCAAAGUAAAUGCAAAAGUAUCAGAUAUCAAGUUAAAUUACAUCUAAUUUUGCCGGUACUUAUUUAGGCCAUGUGAAAUAUGACAUUGACCACCAAAUUGACAUGAUUCUGUAAAUUGAAUACAUUUCAGCUACGUUCUUAAGAUAUUUUUCUUUACUUUACAGCAUCAUGCUGUACAGCAACUGUAACUGAUGUUGGUACAUCACAAAAGACCAGUAAUUCGACAAUGCCAACAUUGACAGAACCAACUCAGCCAAAGAAAAGAAGGAAAACCAUCAAAGAGCAAAUUGAAGAACAGACACUCAAAAAUGUAAAACUUGACAACCAAAGACUAGAAAUUCAAAUUAAAAAAGAUGAACAAGAUUUAAUCAAAAUACAGAAUGAAAAUGAAUUAUAUAAAACCCAACUUAUUUAUUACUCUUUAAAACUGCAACAGGAAUUCAAUUUUGUAAUACAGCCAGAUGAAUAGAUUUUUAUUAAUAGGUUAUAGUUCAUAUGUUAGAAUUAAAUACAAUUCAAGUGCAAGUGACUUCUCCACUUAAUUUCAGUUACCGGACUGAUUGGAAAAAAAAUCCAUCAGUUUGACUCAAAUUGGGAGCCAUGAAAUUAUGCAUAAUAUACACUUUGAAACCA